UACGUAGGGGGCAAGCGUUGUCCGGAUUCAUUGGGCGUAAAGAGCGUGUAGGCGGCCAGGCAGGUCCGCUGUGAAAACUCGAGGCUCAACCUCGAGAUGUCGGUGGAAACCGUCUGGCUAGAGUCCGGAAGAGGAGAGUGGAAUUCCCGGUGUAGCGGUGAAGUGCGCAGAUAUCGGGAAGAACACCCGUGGCGAAGGCGGCUCUCUGGGACGGUACUGACGCUGAGACGCGAAAGCGUGGGGAGCGAACAGG
rnacentral:rRNA from 1 species